CGCGGCCUAUCAGCUUGUUGGUGAGGUAACGGCUCACCAAGGCAUCGACGGGUAGCUGGUCUGAGAGGACGAUCAGCCACACUGGGACUGAGACACGGCCCAGACUCCUACGGGAGGCAGCAGUAGGGAAUCUUGCGCAAUGGGGGCAACCCUGACGCAGCAACGCCGCGUGUGGGAUGACGGCUUUCGGGUUGUAAACCACUUUCAGUGAUGACGAAAAUGACGGUAAUCACAGAAGAAGGUCCGGCCAACUACGUGCCAGCAGCCGCGGUAACACGUAGGGACCAAGCGUUGUCCGGAUUUAUUGGGCGUAAAGAGCUCGUAGACGGUUCUGUAAGUCGGAUGUGAAAACUCAGGGCUCAACCCUGAGACGCCAUCUGAUACUGCAGUGACUAGAGUCCGGUAGAGGAAGAUGGAAUUCCUGGUGUAGCGGUGGAAUGCGCAGAUAUCAGGAGGAACACCAAUGGCGAAGGCAGUCUUCUGGGCCGGUACUGACGCUGAGGAGCGAAAGCAUGGGGAGCAAACAGGAUUAGAUACCCUGGUAGUCCAUGCCGUAAACGUUGGGCACUAGGUGUGGGGUCUUCUAACGGAUUCCGUGCCGUAGCUAACGCAUUAAGUGCCCCGCCUGGGGAGUACGG
rnacentral:rRNA from 1 species